CAAGUCGAACGAUGAAGUUCCUUCGGGAAUGGAUUAGUGGCGAACGGGUGAGGAACACGUGAGAAACCUGCCUUUCAUUCUGGGAUAACACCGGGAAACCGGUGCUAAUACCGGAUACUCCGUCUUGGCGGCAUCGCCGAGCCGGGAAAAAAUUUUGAUGAAAGAUGGUCUCGCGGCCUAUCAGCUAGUUGGUGAGGUAAAGGCUCACCAAGGCGACGACGGGUAGCCGGCCUGAGAGGGCGACCGGCCACACUGGGACUGAGACACGGCCCAGACUCCUACGGGAGGCAGCAGUAGGGAAUAUUGGGCAAUGGGCGCAAGCCUGACCCAGCGACGCCGCGUGAGGGAUGAAGGUCUUCGGAUUGUAAACCUCUUUCAGUAGGGAAGAAGCGAAAGUGACGGUACCUAAAGAAGAAGCACCGGCUAACUAUGUGCCAGCAGCCGCGGUAAUACAUAGGGUGCAAGCGUUGUCCGGAAUUAUUGGGCGUAAAGAGCUCGUAGGUCGUUUGUCGCGUCGAUUGUGAAAAUCUGAGGCUCAACCUCAGACCUGCAGUCGAUACGGGCAAACUAGAGUGUGGUAGGGGAGACUGGAAUUCCUGGUGUAGCGGUGGAAUGCGCAGAUAUCAGGAGGAACACCAAUGGCGAAGGCAGGUCUCUGGGCCAUAACUGACACUGAGGAGCGAAAGUGCGGGGAGCGAACAGGAUUAGAUACCCUGGUAGUCCGCACCGUAAGCGGUGGGCACUAGUUGUGGGAACCUUCCACGGUUUCCGCGACGCAGCUAACGCAUUAAGUGCCCCGCCUGGGGAGUACGAUCGCAAGAUUAAAACUCAAAGGAAUUGACGG
rnacentral:rRNA from 1 species